GACGAACGCUGGCGGCGUGCUUAACACAUGCAAGUCGAACGAAGAGCGAUGGAAGCUUGCUUCUAUCAAUCUUAGUGGCGAACGGGUGAGUAACGCGUAAUCAACCUGCCCUUCAGAGGGGGACAACAGUUGGAAACGACUGCUAAUACCGCAUACGAUCUAACCUCGGCAUCGAGGAUAGAUGAAAGGUGGCCUCUACAUGUAAGCUAUCACUGAAGGAGGGGAUUGCGUCUGAUUAGCUAGUUGGAGGGGUAACGGCCCACCAAGGCGAUGAUCAGUAGCCGGUCUGAGAGGAUGAACGGCCACAUUGGGACUGAGACACGGCCCAGACUCCUACGGGAGGCAGCAGUGGGGAAUCUUCCGCAACGGACGAAAGUCUGACGGAGCAACGCCGCGUGAGUGAUGACGGCCUUCGGGUUGUAAAGCUCUGUUAAUCGGGACGAAAGGCCUUCUUGCGAAUAGUUAGAAGGAUUGACGGUACCGGAAUAGAAAGCCACGGCUAACUACGUG
rnacentral:rRNA from 1 species